GGUGAUAUUUAUAUCAUAGUGGCGCACGGGUGCGUAACACGUAUGCAACCUACCUAUUAUUGGGGGAUAGCCUUUGGAAACGGAGAUUAAUACCGCAUAAUACGAUUAACUGGCAUCGGUUGAUUGUUAAAGCAUUUGCGAUAAUAGAUGGGCAUGCGUCCAAUUAGUUAGUUGGUGUGGUAAUGGCUCACCAAGACGAUGAUUGGUAGGGGAUCUGAGAGGAUAAUCCCCCACACUGGCACUGAGAUACGGGCCAGACUCCUACGGGAGGCAGCAGUAAGGAAUAUUGGGCAAUGGGCGGAAGCCUGACCCAGCCAUGCCGCGUGCAGGAAGACGGCGUUAUGCGUUGUAAACUGCUUUUUUAUAGGAAGAAGGAUCCCUUGCGAGGGAAGGUGACGGUACUAUAAGAAUAAGCACCGGCUAACUCCGUGCCAGCAGCCGCGGUAAUACGGAGGGUGCAAGCGUUGUCCGGAUUUAUUGGGUUUAAAGGGUGCGUAGGCGGUUUAUUAAGUCAGUGGUGAAAGACGGUCGCUCAACGAUUGCAGUGCCAUUGAUACUGGUAGACUUGAGUG
rnacentral:rRNA from 1 species